rnacentral:rRNA from 1 species
AAAUUGAAGAGUUUGAUCAUGGCUCAGAUUGAACGCUGGCGGCAGGCUUAACACAUGCAAGUCGAACGGUAACAUGAGUGCUUGCACUUGAUGACGAGUGGCGGACGGGUGAGUAAUGUAUGGGGAUCUGCCGAAUGGAUUGGGACAACAGUUGGAAACGACUGCUAAUACCGAAUAAUGUCGCGAGACCAAAGGGUGCUUUCGGGCACUUGCCAUUUGAUGAACCCAUAUGAGAUUAGCUAGUUGGUGGGGUAAGGGCUCACCAAGGCGACGAUCUCUAGCUGGUCUGAGAGGAUGACCAGCCACACUGGAACUGAGACACGGUCCAGACUCCUACGGGAGGCAGCAGUGGGGAAUAUUGCACAAUGGGGGAAACCCUGAUGCAGCCAUGCCGCGUGUAUGAAGAAGGCCUUAGGGUUGUAAAGUACUUUCGGUGAUGAGGAAGUUAUGUGUGGGAUAAGCACAUAUAAUUGACGUUAGUUACAGAAGAAGCACCGGCUAACUCCGUGCCAGCAGCCGCGGUAAUACGGAGGGUGCGAGCGUUAAUCGGAAUGACUGGGCGUAAAGGGCAUGUAGGCGGAUGAUUAAGUUAGAUGUGAAAGCCUCGGGCUCAACCUGAGAAUAGCAUUUAAAACUGGUGAUCUGGAGUACUGUAGAGGGAGGUAGAAUUCCACGUGUAGCGGUGAAAUGCGUAGAGAUGUGGAGGAAUACCGGUGGCGAAGGCGGCCUUCUGGACAGAUACUGACGCUGAGAUGCGAAAGCGUGGGGAGCAAACAGGAUUAGAUACCCUGGUAGUCCACGCUGUAAACGAUGUCGAUUUGGAGUUUGUUGCCUAGAGUGAUGGGCUCCGAAGCUAACGCGAUAAAUCGACCGCCUGGGGAGUACGGCCGCAAGGUUAAAACUCAAAUGAAUUGACGGGGGCCCGCACAAGCGGUGGAGCAUGUGGUUUAAUUCGAUGCAACGCGAAGAACCUUACCUGGUCUUGACAUCCACAGAAUCUUUCAGAGAUGAGGGAGUGCCUUCGGGAACUGUGAGACAGGUGCUGCAUGGCUGUCGUCAGCUCGUGUUGUGAAAUGUUGGGUUAAGUCCCGCAACGAGCGCAACCCUUAUCCUUUGUUGCCAGCGAUUAGGUCGGGAACUCAAAGGAGACUGCCGUUGAUAAAACGGAGGAAGGUGGGGACGACGUCAAGUCAUCAUGGCCCUUACGACCAGGGCUACACACGUGCUACAAUGGCGUAUACAAAGGGAAGCGAAGGUGCGAGCUGGAGCGGACCUCCUAAAGUACGUCUAAGUCCGGAUUGGAGUCUGCAACUCGACUCCAUGAAGUCGGAAUCGCUAGUAAUCGUGAAUCAGAAUGUCACGGUGAAUACGUUCCCGGGCCUUGUACACACCGCCCGUCACACCAUGGGAGUGGGUUGCACCAGAAGUAGAUAGCUUAACCUUCGGGGGGGCGUUUACCACGGUGUGAUUCAUGACUGGGGUGAAGUCGUAACAAGGUAACCGUAGGGGAACCUGCGGUUGGAUCACCUCCUUAC